rnacentral:rRNA from 1 species
UACGAAGGGGGCUAGCGUUGUUCGGAAUCACUGGGCGUAAAGGGCGCGUAGGCGGCUUUGUAAGUCGGGGGUGAAAGCCUGUGGCUCAACCACAGAAUUGCCUUCGAUACUGCAUGGCUUGAGACCGGAAGAGGUAAGUGGAACUGCGAGUGUAGAGGUGAAAUUCGUAGAUAUUCGGAAGAACACCAGUGGCGAAGGCGACACACUGGCCCGUUACUGACGCUGAGGCGCGAAAGCGUGGGGAGCAAGCAGG